rnacentral:pre_miRNA from 1 species
AGAGGAGUUAGACAAGUACUGGUCUCAGCAGAUUGAGGAGAGCACCACAGUGGUCACCACACAGUCUGCCGAGGUUGGAGCUGCUGAGA